AAUGAAAAUCCUGGAGAACAGAGUGGAAGAAACGCGUAUUCCACAUUUCCUGUUGAUUUUCUUUCCUCCCUAAACACUGACCUCCCGCAGUCUUCACUAGCAGGGUGAGGUCACCUGUAGAGGUCAUGCUGCGGAGUCCCGAGUCCCUGAUUAUAUUCAAGACGUGGAGCUCUCUUUUUCCCGUCCUGCUUUCUUUCCAGAAGUGCCUCAGAUGCAUCCUCCCCUUCUCUUUUCUCCACAUGAAGACGUCACUGACCAUCUUCUCUGGUUUGCUUUCCAACACCGAGCACCAAGUGCUUCAAAGGUCAUGGUGCCCUGGGGCCGAGAGCUACUUAUGUGGGCAUUUAUAACCAAAUAAAUAUUGAAAUGGCCCACAAAGCAAAUGUUAGUGGUAACCAACAGCGGUAAAACUGGGUACAUGGGACCCUGAACCUUCUUGAAUAUUCCCCAUGAGACCCUGGGCCGACCUUCGGGCUUUCCAGUGUGCUCAGAAAAUCCUCCGUGGCUCCCAGCCCCAGCUUAGUCUUUCAACGGUCCUCGGACUGAAGCAAGAGACAGGGAAGGAAUUGUCCAAGGUUUUCCAGCAUGCUGAGAACACUUACCAUGGUGGAGCCUGGCACGUACUGGCUCUUUGAUGCAUGUGUAUUGGUCUCAAGUAGCCAGAAGCAUCUCCUCUGAGAGCCCUUGCCCUCCAGUUUAAAUGGCAAAUGGAAGGGAAUGGGUUCUGGAAGGCCCCAGGUGGGCUGGGGUGGGUUCUGGAGACCAUCUUCCAACUCCUGUUCAGGAGGAGGGUUGGUCAGAUCAGCUCUGUGGCCACCUGGGCUCUGGAGGGGCGAGAUACGGGCAGGUGCGGCCACAGGAGGGAGAGCACCAUGUGCGGGGGAAGCCCACAGCUGGAACCAAAAGGCCCCAGGAGGGAUCCUGGCUCUGACAUCUCCCAGCCGUGUGGCCUUGGGCAAGGUCCCUGACUUGGACCUCAGCCUCCUCAUCUGUAAAACAGGCAGAACAGUAAUACCGACCUUGUAGGUUGUAUAGAGUUCAUAUACAUCAAGCACUUACCACAGUGCCUGGCGGACCGCAUGCCCUAAACACACAAUCCGUGAAAUGAAUCCAUCAGCAAGCAGCUGCUAGGGGCAGUGUGGGGCAGAGAGGCAGCUGCCUGCUGGAACUGGCUGACAGGAGGAUGAGUGUGUGGCAGGAGGAACGCUCUGCACAGAGGACACUAGGUAGCGUCACCUGUCUCUUACCCUGUGUCUCCACUGGAAUGGAAUGUCAGACUCGCACCAUGCAUUCCUUUCCCUGCCAAAACGCCUCCUCUUAGCAGUGAGCAAGAAAGUUGUUCGAGUGGAUGAAGCCAAAAGCCCAUUUGGCAAGAGUGCUGUUUUGGAAAAUGCUUAGCGGUGUGGGUUGGGAUGAGGUUUUCUGUGCCUUUCCAUUAUUUCUUCAGCUUCAUGUAACCCUGACUGAGCAAUGCUCAGCAGAGUGAAGGCUGGGCAGCAGAUGGACAAGAUUUUCUCAAACUCCUUUUUAAGCCAAUUUCAAAAUAGAGAGAGGGAAAAAUCCUUGUUUUCUCUUUUCGGUUUUGAGAGGUUUCAUAUGCAGACACAAUUUUAAAUUUUAUUUUUUUUGCCCCCAAUGAGAUGUUUGGAGAUGGUGGUACUAGAACAGGAAGGAAUUUAUAAGUAUUGGGGAAUUUUUCAUCCCAAUUCCCAUAUCCUCCUAUAAUUCAAGGAGUGAAUGGGUAGUGUUUUUGUUUUUGUGAGAGGGGUGGCGGAGGGUAGAGAGAGAAAGAGAGAGAGACAGAGAGAGAUUACAUAGAGGUGUCCAAAAUGAACACAGUAAAAACCAGUUUUGAUUAAUUCUGCAAUAUUAAGUAGGCAGCCAAAAAUUUUGGUCUGCUUAAUUCUUAGCUCAUCUAAGUCUCCAGUUGACUGAUUGAUUGAUUGAAUGACUUAUUCAACAUGCGCUAGCCAGACACUGGUCUAGGGCCCAGGAAUUCAGCAAUAAAUGAAACAAGACCA
rnacentral:lncRNA from 1 species